AUUGAACGCUAGCGGCAUGCCUUACACAUGCAAGUCGAACGGCGUGCCGAACGGGUGCGUAAUGUAUCGGAACGUGCCCAGUCGCGGGGGAUAACUACGCGAAAGCGUAGCUAAUACCGCAUACUAUUGGAGCGGCCGAUGUGGGAUUAGCUAGAUGGUGGGGUAACGGCUCACCAAGGCGACGAUCCGUAGCUGGUUUGAGAGGACGACCAGCCACACUGGGACUGAGACACGGCCCAGACUCCUACGGGAGGCAGCAGUGGGGAAUUUUGGACAAUGGGCGAAACCCUGAUGCAGCCAUGCCGCGUGUGUGAAGAAGGCCUUCGGGUUGUAAAGCACUUUUGGCGGGGAAGCGGUACCUGCAGAAGAAGCACCGGCUAACUACGUGCCAGCAGCCGCGGUAAUUC
rnacentral:rRNA from 1 species